UAAACCAAGGGUUGGCUGAAACCCACGCGCUCAGACCCUUGACAUUAAAGUAGUGUCAGACUGCAUUCAUUCUGCAGUGUAGAUGCAGCUUGCCAAAUGCCACCUAGUGAGCUCAUCAUGACUCAGAUGGAAUGUGAAUCGGAGACAUCAUGAUUCAAACCAAUUUGAUUUAAAAAGCAAACUGCUUAUUAUUGUGCUUUUACCCAACACCUACAUAACCUUUUUUUGGUCUCCAAAGAGCUUAGGGAGCACUCCUGGGAUAGUCCCCACUGAUCCCCAGAAUUACCCAGAGAACCAGAGGCUUGAGCAAACACCUCCCAAGACGUUUUCAUUGCCGGGGGAGAGUGGAACCUGGCCCAAAGCCAGCACUGAGCUCAUUCAAUCCCAAAUGGAACAGGCUCUUUCCACAUGGCAAAACGCAGCUGUAUUCUGUUCUGCUAUUAUGGGUUCGGAGCGCAAGAGACGGCUGAGACAAAAACCGCAUCCAGGAUUAGAUGUAUCCGCAGCCAUUCAUCCAUGUAAGAAUCCCAGCCGAUACGUCACCUCUGACUCGCAAGUGGCCUGGAAACUGCAGGUGGAGGCAACUCCUUCCAAUAUCAGUUGGAAACAAGGUUAAUUACGCAUCUUUGAUUGUAUUUACUUGUUUGUAUGCAAAUAGCCUAUGGUCUAAGAACUGAUAAACAACAUGGGCGAGGUCCAUGUUGCAAACACUGGUCAUCUUCAAGAAAUAUGGCUCAACUCCCAUUCCUAUAUCCCUAAUAUUCAAAGUUAUCCAGUCACCCAGUCACCCAGUGCAGCAACUCUUGGGUUGGAUCUGCACUGCCAUAUAAUCCAGAUUAUCAAAGUAGAUAAUCCACAUUAUCUGCUUUGAAUUGUCUUAUAUGAGGCAACACUACUAUAUAACCCAGUUCAAAGAAGAUAAUCUGGAUUUUGUAUGGCAGUGUAGAAGGGGCCAUACCAGAUCAUACUUCACUAUUGUAGCUAAAACACCAGAAAAUUUGAUCAAAUCAGUUACUAUAAAAACCAUUAAUUGCAUUGAGUAAAACAUGAGUUCUCAAACUUUUUCAUCCGCUGAGCCCUUUUUGAAGGAAGCGUUUCUCAAAGAGCCACAAGAUAUGUUUAUAUAUUAUAUCAUAUUAUAUUAUAUUAUAUUAUAUUAUAUUAUAUUAUAUUAUACCAUAUCAUAUCAGACAUGGGUAAACUAAAGGGUCCGCAGCAGCACCAGUUUGAGGAACAGCUGGA
rnacentral:lncRNA from 1 species